rnacentral:rRNA from 1 species
AGAGUGAACGCUGGCGGCAGGCCUAACACAUGCAAGUCGAACGGCAGCACAGAGGAGCUUGCUCCUUAGGUGGCGAGUGGCGGACGGGUGAGGAAUACGUCGGAAUCUGCCUAUUUGUGGGGGAUAACGUAGGGAAACUUACGCUAAUACCGCAUACGACCUACGGGUGAAAGCGGAGGACCUUCGGGCUUCGCGCAGAUAGAUGAGCCGACGUCGGAUUAGCUU